GUUAGCAGUCACAAGAAAAGUUUCAUUUCUUUAAUCGAAUAUCUAAAAGUUUUGUGUUACUGCUUCUAAGUAUACCAUUUAAUGAUAAAGAUUCUUUUUUAAAGUUGUACCCAGACUGUUUAUGUCAAGCAAUAUACUUGAUGUUUAAUGUAUCUUCAACUUUUGACUAUCUGUUUGCUGAUUGGUUGAUUAAAACUGUUUUUUAUUGGCUGACUGGUGUAAUUCCAAACGUGGAUGAAGUUACAAAAUCAUGGAAUGUUGAGACUCUUAAUCUUCCAACAUUUUUAAAAGAGCAUACAAAUAAAGAAGAAUUGACCAAAAAUAAUGAUA
rnacentral:lncRNA from 1 species